AUAUUUAAAUAUUUAACAUUUAAAGAAUGUAAUAUUUCUGGUUGUAAUGAUUCUUGUUCCUUAAAAUUAUAAAAUAAUAUAUAUAUUACACAAAGUUAAUCACUAAAUUCAUUACAUAAUGUCUCUUUCUCUUUAUUUUAAUGGCUAUAACAAUUUGAAAGUAUUGAUUUUAAAGUGUUCAUUAUUAAAGAAUGUUAUUAUAUGACUCAUGAUGAUCUUAAAAACAAAGACAGAAAUAUUUUAAUUUAACUGUGUUUAACUUUUUACUAUGUGAAACCUUUAAUUGAUCUUUAAUUUUUAAUAAUAAGGCUUUGUGCACACAUUCAAAAAAAAAAAAAAAAAAAAAAAAAAUCCACUGUCCCCAUGGGCUCUCUCUUCCAUAUAUGGAUAGAAGAGUAACGCUGCAUGACUAUUGGCUGCGCAGCGGAAGUUCGCGUGCUGAUUGGCUGAGUAAUACUGUGAUAGAGCGAGACCAACGACAGAUGUUCCAGAAUUCUCCAGAGAUUGAUCAUUGAGCUUUAUCUCCUGAGCAAUUCUUGAGGUUUGUUUGCAUUUUUUGUUUGUAGUACAUUUAAAGGUGCACUAUGCAGGAUUAAAAAAAUGUUAAAUCUUGUAAAUCAGAGAAGUUGUAGCUUACAGGUUCAACAGAUUUUAACGAGUUAUGUCUGACAUUUUUCUUUUUCUUUUCAAAUUAUAGCAUUACGAGCACUACAAACUCCACUCCACAAUAUCCAGUAAGUAUUUUAUUUUUAUUUUUUUGAUAUGGAUCAAAUAUGAACAGAUGACAAAGCAAUAUUAAUGAGUUACUAUUAAUGAGUCACUGAUGCAUUAUAGCACUUCAGAACCUGUGACUAGUUUGUGGAGUUUUGUGAAAUUCACUGGGGAAUGUUGUGGGCCCCAAUGAUUUUUCAUUGCUUGUAAUUUUUUACAUAAAGUAAAUGAGACAAUGAUGAAAUGGUAUUCAUUUGGUGGGGGAACCAUUCCUUUUCAGUUGUUGUAAGUUAUAGAUAAACAGUUUUUUCCUUCCUGAAAGAUAGAACCAGUUUAUGUUAUAGCCAUGGGCUGCAUGCGAAGUUGCAUACUCACUGAGUAGAUACUUCUUAUGAAUAAGUAAUAAUUUUGCAAGCAUUAAAACAUAAUCUAAUAUGUGUGUUAUGUAUGCAGAUGUACUACAUUUGUCAUGUUAUCACUGUCAUGUGAGCUACAGCAUAAGUUACAAUGCAAUUCACAAUUUUGCUUCUGUGGCCUCAUGGGAUAGACUAAACUAAAGAUUCUCAAUAGAAGUGGUAGGUCAUCCAAGUACUUUUCAUCUACUGCUUUUCACCCUACUGUAAAGCAGAGAAGUAUGCAAGUUCGGAUAAUGCCUCUAGACCUUUAAAACAUAAUUUGUUGAACA
ensembl:lncRNA